rnacentral:rRNA from 1 species
AGUGAACGCUGGCGGUAGGCCUAACACAUGCAAGUCGAACGGCAGCACAGUAAGAGCUUGCUCUUACGGGUGGCGAGUGGCGGACGGGUGAGGAAUACAUCGGAAUCUACUUUUUCGUGGGGGAUAACGUAGGGAAACUUACGCUAAUACCGCAUACGACCUACGGGUGAAAGCAGGGGAUCUUCGGACCUUGCGCGAUUGAAUGAGCCGAUGUCGGAUUAGCUAGUUGGCGGGGUAAAGGCCCACCAAGGCGACGAUCCGUAGCUGGUCUGAGAGGAUGAUCAGCCACACUGGACCUGAGACACGGUCCAGACUCCUACGGGAGGCAGCAGUGGGGAAUAGUGGACAAAGGGCGCAAGCCUGAUCCAGCCAUACCGCGUGGGUGAAGAAGGCCUUCGGGUUGUAAAGCCCUUUUGUUGGGAAAGAAAAGCAGCAGGUUAAUACCCCGCUGUUCUGACGGUACCCAAAGAAUAAGCACCGGCUAACUUCGU